UACGUAGGGUGCGAGCGUUUGUCCGGAUUUAUUGGGCGUAAAGAGCUCGUAGGCGGUUUGUCGCGUCGGCCGUGAAAAUCUCCACGCUUAACGUGGAGCGUGCGGUCGAUACGGGCAGACUUGAGUUCGGUAGGGAGACUGGAAUUCCUGGUGUAGCGGUGAAAUGCGCAGAUAUCAGGAGGAACACCAAUAGCGAAGGCAGCUCGCUGGACGGUACUGACGCUAAGGCGCGAAGCGUGGGAGCGAACAGG
rnacentral:rRNA from 1 species